UAACGAAACACUCGUUAUCGAUACGCGGUUUUCCAAGCGCCGCGAUAUUUCUACAUUUAUCUCUGGCGUUAGUCAUGCUCUUUCGCAUUUUUUUUCGCGGUUUGCAAUAAUAGCGUCGCUCAGUCGGGCGACCCAUUAUUUAGCGAUAAAAAUUGUUUAUACGUUGACGCCUCCGAUAAUACGGAUCUCCCGUUAAUCUCUGAUUAAUCUUUGUUCAACAUUUGGUGACUCACUGACGCGAUGGAAAAUGGGGAAACGAGCCGUGUCCUUAAAUACAGUGACUCAUCGAUCUUUGCGAAGUUACACGGUGCUCCAUUUCACUUCGAUCCCCCCUGCUGCGAGUGGUAACGAGCCUACGCUAAACGACGUUAUCCUUUUUUAAGUGAGAUUGAUGUACCUAAAUUAAUUUUGGACUAGUGCAUCCUUUAUAAGUAAAAAUAAAAAAAAAACAGAAAUUGGAAACGGAAAUUACAAGGAUUCGAAACACCUGACCACUGUACUUUUAAAAAUCACCUGAAUUUAAAUAUACGAGGAAUACAAGAAGUCCCAAACAAUACCUCUCCAAGCCAUCCAGACUCCAAAUCCCCCCCCCCCCCCCCCUCUAGUAAUCCCAAACAUCCCAAUAAAUUGAUACUCGAACGAAUCCCCCAAAAUUCCAACCUACCCCCUUUGAAGCAAGUCUCAACCACUCCCCCGACCUGUUCUACCUAGGGUUCGCUGCCCCAGUCGCAGGUGUCGUUUUACACCGUCGUCGUAAUACUUCUGAUUAAUUUCCAGCGAUUGGCUGCCAGGAAGCUCUGAAUCGAAAAGGGUUGGCUGCCUGUAGGGAGUCCCUGUUUCCCGAAGAUGCCGACACGUGCUGCUUCGCCACCCCAGUGACCGUUUAAACGAUGUUUACAAAGCAGGAAAACAGAAGCGACGCACGGGUUCGUACAAGUAUUUCCCUUCUACCAUCUCUGUAAUGUGGCGUCGCUUCCCGAAGGGAAACGCGACGGAUGAGAGAUGCGGACAAGGAAGACGAUAGCAGCCACCUGCCACGCAGCUCGCCUAAUGAUUCGUCCUUCUGUUGACGGGAAUUCGUAUAGCAGCGUCCACGGAUACACGCGUGGAACGCGUCACGAAGGAUUCCGGCAUGAAUGAAUCACUUAACGAGAAACACGCGCCGGGCAUACGUAAUAUUUGUGUCCUCCGUAGAAUAUUUAUUGGAAAUGCGGGCGAGGGACGACAGGCUGACUUGCAGGGUCCAGCUAUCGUGAAACUGGAGCAUUUUUAGGGAGUCAGAAGUGGAUUAGACGAUGAGGGGGAAUGGGAACGGGAAAUGGUGAAGCAGGGAGAUAUACGCGAGGUUCAGGUGACUGUCAUGAAGGAGUCUGUAGAGAUAGUCUGUAGAAG